rnacentral:rRNA from 1 species
GAUGAACGCUGGCGGCGUGCCUAAUACAUGCAAGUCGAGCGAACAGAUGAGAAGCUUGCUUCUCUGAUGUUAGCGGCGGACGGGUGAGUAACACGUGGGUAACCUACCUAUAAGACUGGGAUAACUCCGGGAAACCGGGGCUAAUACCGGAUAAUAUUUUGAACCGCAUGGUUCAAUAGUGAAAGACGGUUUCGGCUGUCACUUAUAGAUGGACCCGCGCCGUAUUAGCUAGUUGGUAAGGUAACGGCUUACCAAGGCGACGAUACGGAGCCGACCGGGGAGGGUGAUCGGCCACACUGGAACUGUGACACGGUCCAGACUCCUACGGGAGGCAGCAGUAGGGAAUCUUCCGCAAUGGGCGAAAGCCUGACUGAGCAACGCCGCGUGAGUGAUGAAGGUCUUCGGAUCGUAAAACUCUGUUGUUAGGGAAGAACAAAUUUGUUAGUAACUGAACAAGUCUUGACGGUACCUAACCAGAAAGCCACGGCUAACUACGUGCCAGCCGCCGCCGUAA